CAGCAGCCGCGGUAAUACGAAGGGGGCUAGCGUUGUUCGGAAUCACUGGGCGUAAAGGGUGCGUAGGCGGAUUCUUAAGUCAGGGGUGAAAUCCCGAGGCUCAACCUCGGAACUGCCUUUGAUACUGGGGAUCUUGAGUCCGGAAGAGGUGAGUGGAACUGCGAGUGUAGAGGUGAAAUUCGUAGAUAUUCGCAAGAACACCGGUGGCGAAGGCGGCUCACUGGUCCGGAACUGACGCUGAGGCACGACAGCGUGGGGAGCAAACAGGAUUAGAUACCCCUGUAGUCCCUGUCUCUUAUAC
rnacentral:rRNA from 1 species